AUCAUAUUAAGAUUAAAUUUUAUAUUACGUGUUUAUUUAAACAUUUAUAAGUUUAGUAGGGGCGACCGAAAUCUUAUUUAUAAUAAUCUAUAAGUACUGAAAAGGAAAUAAUAUUGAAUUAAAAAAAAGCAGUUUUUAAUAAUGUACCUUUUGCAUCAUGGUUUAGCUAGAGAAUGCUUUUAAUAAAGUUUCUCGAAACUCGAUGAGCUAUUUUAAGUUCUAUGUUAGCAGUAGUAAGUAAAUGUGGCAAAAUUUUUUCAAAAACUUAAAAUAGAAAUUAGAUUUUAUUCGUAUCGAGUGAUAGCUAGUUUCCUUAUAAAAGCAUAGAAGUGCGUAAAUUAAUUAUGUUUAGCUCAUAGUUUACUGUGAUUUAAUACAUUAAUUUGUGAGACUCUUAAGGAUAAGCUUUAGAGUCAAUAAUAUUAAGUUGUAUUUAUUACGACUUGAAAUUUAGGCUUGAAAUUAGCCAUAAUUUAAAGUUUGUUAUAAAUUAUUAAGAAAAUUAAAUAAAAUAUAUUUACUUGUCUUUAUAAGGAAAAUUUUUAAAAUUCAUAAAAAAUAUUUUCAUGCUAAAAUGAGUAUUACACAAAAUUAUAUAUUAAUAAGAUUAAAAUUAAAACAUAAAAAUUUUAUUAUAAAUAAAUUUUAAGAAGGAACUCGGCAAAACUUUUGCUCUGCCUGUUUAUCAAAAACAUGGCUCUUUGAGAUUUAUAUAUAAAGAGUCGGGCCUGCCCAGUGAUGUAUUUUUAACGGCCGCGGUACUCUGACCGUGCGAAGGUAGCAUAAUCAUUUGCCCUAUAAUUGAGGGCUAGUAUGAAUGGUUUGACAUGAGCAUAACAGGGCUAGUAUGAAUGGUUUGACAUGAGCAUAACUGUCUCCUUAAAAUUUUAUAAAAUUUGGUUUUUAGGUGAAGAAACCUAAAUUAAAUUGAAAGACAAGAAGACCCUAUCGAGCUUUAGAAUAAUUAAUUAAAAAAUAUAAAUAAAACAAUUAAUUUUAAUUAAAAACUUUGGUUGGGGCGACUGAGGAACAUAUAAAGCUUCCUUAAUUAAACAAUGCUGAUAAGCAAUGAUCCAGGAAAUCUGAUUAAAAAAAUUAGUUACCGUAGGGAUAACAGCAUAAUCUUUUUUGAGAGCUCUUAUCGAAAAAAAGGUUUGUGACCUCGAUGUUGGACUAGGAUAUCCUAAAGAUGUAGAAGUCUUUAAUGGUUGCUCUGUUCGAGCAUAAAAAUCCUACAUGAUCUGAGUUCAGACCGGCGUGAGCCAGGUCAGUUUCUAUCUUCAAUUAAAUAUUUUAAAUUUAGUACGAAAGGACCAAUUUAAGGCAAUAAUUGUAUAUUAAGACUAAUUAUAAUGUACACUUAAGUUUUUACAAU
rnacentral:rRNA from 1 species